GGAAGGGAGUUGCUGAGGGGGAAUUUAGAAGAGAUGAUGAACCAAAGCUUCACUUUCAUCUACCCACACAAGAGGAGAUGCUGUGGGUAAGGCUGGGAGACCCAAGGAACACUGGUGAAGAUCUUCAGUGGGAAAGACAGGAACUAGAUGAGAAAUGACUUGUUGGCUAUGACCUUUGCAAGAGGAUAACGUUGUAGAAAUGACCUUAACAGAUGUGAAAGUGAAGUACUGGCAUCUGAGAUUUAAUAUGGCCAUGAAAUAUUGCUUGGAAUCUGGAGAUAAACUUGCUCAAUACAGUUAGGACUGUUCUGUAACAGUUUCCAAACAAAAAUGACACUUUACUGACACAAAUAUUGUGUAGAAUGGCAUUGUUUUCAACAAACUCCCAAUGAACCACCAUGACAUUCACCUGACUUGGGAUCAUGACCCUGCUCAUUCUCUCAGACCAUCCAAACCUAAAGAUUGUUUCAAAGCUGGACAUUUGGGAUUUUCAAGGCACAUAACCCAGACACAGAUCUUCAGGACUGGGGAACCGAGGAGUUGACUAGCUCCAGAAUUCCUGCAGAAGACACCUCUCCACUUGUGAAGGCUGUGGGAUUUCCACUCCGCUUCUGUAAAUCCCGAAAGUCUGUAGAUCUCAACUUCAUUGUGACUUCCACUAUUUGUGCAUUCCCAGCUCUCCUGUUGCCCACUAAGGCCGAGUGGGAGCUGUGAUUCCUAGGCUGUUGUGCUGCUUAGAAUACUGUGAACAGUUAGCUAUAGCUUAAAAAGGCACUUUUUAAUUCCAACCUUCCUUGCUCCUUAAGUUUUUCCUUACAAAAACAUUUUGUUACCCUUUUUGUAUUUGUUCAGAAGAAUUUUUCAGAGUAAAAAUGCCAUAAUCAUAGAAUCAUAGAAUGGCCCAGGUUGGAAGGGACCUCAAGGAUCAUGAAGCUCCAACCCCUCUGCCACAGUCAGGGCCACCAAAUUCCAUAUCUAAUAUUAGACCAGGCUGCCUAUAGCCCCAUCCAACCUGGCCUUGAACAGCUCCAGGAAUGGGGCAUCCACAACCUCUCUGGGCAGCCUGUGCCAGCACCUGCAUAUUUUAGCCAAACCAUGGUUAUUGAAUGUACCAAGCGAGGUUUUGAGGGGAAUUACUGAGCACUAAAGGGUGUUUUCUUGUGUUUUGUUUUGUUGUUUUUGUGUGGUGUUUUUUUUUUUUUAAUUCUUUGCAUUUUACUUAGCUGAAGUAUUCCAGAGAACUUAAACCAAUAGUUACUGCUUGUAGAAUUUGUGGGGAGUCCUCAAAUAGACUGCAUAAAGAUCCUUGUGCUUAUCUGACUUUGAGGCCAAUCAGUAUUCAUGAAGUCAGAAGUUAAAUAUGGGUGUUUUCUUUUGCUGCUAGUAUUUAUUUCUACCAGUAGAGUAUUCAGUGUUAUAUAAAAUAUAAACUGAAUGACUGAACUGACCAUUUGAAGUAUUAUCAUACUGUCAUUCCUUUCCUCCUCCCUGUGCCUCAGAGCCAAGGAGCAUUUAAGAUCCCGUGCAAUCUGUUUAAUACUUCUAAGAUACUGGAAGAGCAUUCAUCUACUAGUAUCUCAGCUCAUUAGUCAGAAGCUAUCGGAAAAUAAGCAGCUCCUUUGGAUCUGGCACCCAGAUCCUUCACACAAGGAAACACCUUCAUUCAGCAGAAGGCCUGCACUUUGCAGAGGGCAGUUUCUGUCAAAUUGCUCCUCAGGACAGUAGGGCAGCUUCAGUGGGCACAGGUCAGUCACUUAGUUAGCUCUUGGGGAUAGGAUAUGGUUCGAUUUGAGGACCUUUCGUUCUUUCAUUAAUGGGAUUCUCAGCUUCCACUUGUUAGCAUUCAGUCAUGGAUAUCUGGGAGAUUACAGAUGUUGCCAUGCUACCUGAAAGCAAGAUUGCUACAGCAGGAGAAGAAUAUUAACACUUUGAUGUGAGAAAACAUUGAAGCAUAUCCCCCAUACAAAUGUCUGGUCAGAUAUUCUUUUGUUUAUUGUAUGGAAGAUAGGUGUCUCGUGGAUGACAGGAGACUGGAGACACUGCAUUGACAGCCUUGGCCUGAGCCAGGGCCAAAGUUUUUGCAGCCAACUAUGAAGUUGCUGACCUAAGAAAAAGGAAACAGCCCCAGACUGUAUAGCAGUGGCAUCACAGGCACUUGAAAACUCCCCACAACUAUGGUCAAAGGAAGCUCUACACAACCCACGUCUCAGUAAAAUGUUCUGAUUCAUAAACGUAUUGGCUGGUUCUCCUGCUUUGUGUUGUCUUCAUUGAGAAAACUUAGGAACCUUUCCUCAUGGACCUGACUCCCUUACUGAUCUGUAUAAAUAAAUACAAGUAUGGAUAUUUGUAAACUC
rnacentral:lncRNA from 1 species